rnacentral:rRNA from 1 species
CGCGUAGGUGGUAGUGUAAGUCUGGGGUGGAAUGCCGGGGCUUAACCCUGGAAUUGCCUUGGAAACUGCAUCACUUGAGUCAGUGAGGGGAGGGUAGAAUUCCUGGUGUAGCGGUGAAAUGCGUAGAUAUCAGGAGGAAGGCCUGUGGCGAAGGCGGCCCUCUGGCGCUGGACUGACACUGAGGCGCGAAAGCGUGGGGAGCAAACAGGAUUAGAUACCCUGGUAGUCCACGCCCUAAACGGUGGGCACUAGGUGUAGGGCUCGUAAGGGUUCUGUGCCGAAGGGAAACCAUUAAGUGCCCCGCCUGGGGAGUACGGCCGCAAGGUUGAA